rnacentral:rRNA from 1 species
UACGAAGGGGGCUAGCGUUGCUCGGAAUCACUGGGCGUAAAGCGCACGUAGGCGGUUUCUUAAGUCAGGGGUGAAAUCCUGGAGCUCAACUCCAGAACUGCCUUUGAUACUGGGAGACUUGGAGUCCGGGGAGAGGUGAGUGGAACUGCGAGUGUAGAGGUGAAAUUCGUAGAUAUUCGCAAGAACACCAGUGGCGAAGGCGGCUCACUGGCCCGGUACUGACGCUGAGGUGCGAAAGCGUGGGGAGCAAACAGGG